GACGAACGCUGGCGGCGUGCCUAAUACAUGCAAGUCGAGCGAAUGACGAGAAGCUUGCUUCUCUGAUUUAGCGGCGGACGGGUGAGUAACACGUGGGCAACCUGCCCUACAGAUCGGGAUAACUCAGGGAAACCUGGGCUAAUACCGGAUAAUCCUUCGAAUCACAUGUUUUGAAGUUGAAAGGCGCUUCGGCGUCACUGUAGGAUGGGCCCGCGGUGCAUUAGCUAGUUGGUGGGGUAACGGCCUACCAAGGCAACGAUGCAUAGCCGACCUGAGAGGGUGAUCGGCCACAUUGGGACUGAGACACGGCCCAAACUCCUACGGGAGGCAGCAGUAGGGAAUCUUCCACAAUGGACGAAAGUCUGAUGGAGCAACGCCGCGUGAGUGAUGAAGGUUUUCGGAUCGUAAAACUCUGGUGUAAGGGAUGAACAAGUACGUUAGGAAAUGAACGUACCUUGACGGUACCUUAUUAGAAAGCCACGGCUAACUACGUGCCAGCAGCCGCAGUAA
rnacentral:rRNA from 1 species